ACAUGCCUACAACAUAGCAUUUAUACAUCAGAUCCCAUUAGAACUUCGUAGUUAAGUGCGCUCGAGCUAGAGUAUUACUGGGAUGGGUGAUCGCUCAGGAAGCCCUAGUAUUUUACAUGCC
rfam:Picea glauca, whole genome shotgun sequence.